CUCGCCAGACAAUUCCUUGAGCCUUAAUUAAUCGAUUCUCACUCACCAUAUAUUGUUUGGAGAAACCAAGACCAGCUGCCUUUGUUGCCAAAAUCCGAACAACCUGAUCGAAGACAUUGCUAUCUUCUCUCCUUCGAUUCUCUGUCAUCGGAGUUUCUCAUUGAAAGACGAAGACCACAACGAGGCAAAGGUUUGGCCACCGAUGUGACGUUGUGGGACAUUCGAACGACGGAUAAGGGAUCCGAGCUCCAUCGAUGCUCCCAAUGAGGAGGUUAAAGCUUUCUCCCCUUAAAUAAAUCACGAUUCUUCAGUUCUAGAGAGGGAGGGAGAGGGUUAGUACGUGAAGGUGGUUCUCCUUCCCUGAAGAGAGAGUUCUCCAAAUCCCCCUAAAAAGAUGAGGUCGGUGAAAUAUAUAACUGAGAAGGUCGGUGCCAUUCUCUUCUUCCUCCCUUUUCUCAAAUCUUCUCAACCUUUCCAAAUUAAUUUAAUAUUUUUUUUUUCAUAUAAAGUAUUUAUUUAUUAUUUCUAAAUUAUCCGGGUAUUAUACCUAAGCAGGUCUAGGCGACCUCUUAACGGCCCUAAAUGGGUCUCGGCAUCACCUUGGCGGCCUUAGACAGGUAUCGACAGACCCUUGGCGAGUCUAGGCGCUCCUAAGCGGGUCUAGCUGGUCUCGACGUGGAUCUAAGAGGGUUAAGGCGGUCCCUUGGUAGGUCAAGGCGGGUCAAAGCGGCCCUUUGAGGCCGUCAGGGGGUCAAGGCGGCCCCUAAGCGGGUCAAGCCAGGUCAAGGCGGGUCAACGCAGUCCAAGACUGUUCAAGGCAACCCCUUAACGAGUCAAGGCGGCCCAAGGUGGGUCAAGGCGACCCAAGACGGUUCAAGGCAGCCCCUUAAUGGGUUAAGGCGGGUCUAGGCAGGUCAAGGCUGACACGACCCACCCCGAAUUUCACCCUGAAACCCGGAGUAAGUCGUGC
rnacentral:lncRNA from 1 species